UAUCUCAACGACCUCUUCGUCUUUAUCAUAACGCACACGAUGAUAAUCAAACGAACUUGCCGAAGAUUCUGGGAAUUGCGAUUUUGAAUGACCGUUCUUUAUAAACCGUCAAACCUCGUGAUAGAAAUUGUUUUCUUUUGCUGCUCUCUGUUCUAAUUAUUCAGCCGUGCUAGUCUGCAUUCGUCUCCGGCCAACAUCACUGCUGCGACCAUUCUUCGUUUUCUGUUGUGACUAUCGCGACUAUCGCGCUGAACUCCAUCAUCACCGGUGUCGACUUUUGAUUCGCGAUCAGCCCAGGUUCGGAACUUUCGUGCUGCCGCCUUAGUACUCCGCCACUCGUGUUCCGUUCGGUUCAGUCCGAUUCACGCCACUGGAAGUUACUCGUGUUUCGCAGACCUUGUUUCACUCUCGGAUUUGUUUCGGUUCGACAUUUAAGGUUCUUGAUUUUUCGUGGUCUACUUGAUUCUUUGGAUUUUGUUUUGCUUGCUAAUAAGGUAAUCAUGGGAAACGGGGAUGAGUGAGAGGAAAUGAAGUUUAAGAAGUUUUUGAAGUUUCCGUGUUUAUUUAUUUUCAGUAAUUGAAUAAUAAAAGACUUAGGUUUUUGGUGGAUUCGAGACUUUUGUUUCUUGGUUUCUAUCGUGUAUUGAAACUCUUUGGUUUUUGAUAUCUGUAAUAGUGACAUGCCAACCCGUUCUGGGUUGGGGUGUUACACAGGCCCUGGCCGGUGGUCCUCCCUGCCCACCCUA